AGUCGAAGUGCAGUGGAAAAGCCACAUGGGAGGACUUCCAAAAUGCUGUCAACAAUUAAAAUUUAUUUUUUAAGCUUUGUUUCAAAGAAAGCAAGCAGGUUGAUUUUGUCUCCUAUUCUGUCUGAUAAACGUCUACCCUAAGUGCCUUGGGUUUGAGUUCUUGUGGUACUGAAGACAUCAUCAUCACCACGUACACUCCUACUACUGAUGACACCAAGGUCGCUGUCCUGAAGCCCACUAUGCAGCCUCGGAGUUUUGUUGCUAAUGGUAUUUUGAAAUUAUACAAGAAAAACUGGCAAAGUAAAAUGUUUUCCUUUCUUUGCUCAAGAACGUCCCAUCUCAAAGGAGAAGCCUAUCUUUUCAACCAUCUCAGUCUCCAAAUGCUUCUCGUCCCACACUCAACAAGUCCCAGCUACAGCACCUUCUGGAUCACUGACUCGACAGUGGGGCAUAAACACUACAGAAUAUUUGACUUACUUGUACUCUUAUGGGACCUAAUUCUUCAAUUCUUAGCAACACCUCAGGAAUGUGUGCCAUCACCGUUAUGCGGUACUUUGACUUUGUAUCUUCUUUAGAUCUGUCUCAUUAGAAACUAAGAAGAAACUGAACAAAGAUCCAUAAGCUCUAUGGG